GGAGUUAAUUGGCAUGGUCUAAAUUAAAGCUUGUUUCUGUUUGAAUUUCAUUCUGGACGUAUUUUUGACAUUUUGGUAGAAAAAAAUGGGACAGGAGGUUGUAUUUAGUGAAUGAAACUCAAUUUUAGUAUGAGUAAUACUUCCAGGUCACAGCAGUGUGAUUUUAAAAUGAGGGAUGAACAAUGGCUUCAGAUCUGUACGGAGAGGCAUAUAUACCUUAUUACAAUCAUCUGAUAGAAAUUCUUGAAACUACUAAGGAAUUAAAGAAGACUACAACAGAAUCAGAUGAAAGAGUGUGCACAUCUAGUUAUUAGAAGUAUGCCUAUUGUAUGAACUGAUGUUACUAGUCAGAGAAAUCAGAUGUCUUCAGUGACUUAGAUAAUGCUACAGGAUGAUAUGAGAUCAAAGGCAAAUUUCAUCAAAGAUCAAACAUAAAUUACAAAAUAUUUCAACUAAAUUAAAUGGCUGGAAUGAAGUUCCUAACCCUGGUGAUGGUUUUGGAAAAGAAAAGCAAAGAGACAGUCUGAUGACACCUUGUACUGAGCCUACAAUUCUCCAAAAAUGAUUUUGUUGUAUAAGAAAGCAGUUGAAUUAUGCACUUCCGGGAACAUUUGCAGGAAUAUGGAUAGGAGGUAUGGUUGCAGGUCCGCUAGGGGCUGUUGUUGGGGGAUUUGCAGGUUUAAGUGUUGGUUUCUAUGCAUGUUCUUCGGAAGACUACAACUCAAUGAUUACAGUGAUGAAAAAUCUCAGUGAUUCUGACAAACAACGACUGGUGGAGAAGAUACAGGAAGUUGUCGGAAGCUUGUCUCCGGACAAAUUAACAACUGACUUCCUUCUUUCUCAGAAAGGUGAAUCGUUAAUGAAAACAGUGGAAAACUUUUUACGAAACACAAAAGGAAGUAAAAAAUAAACAAGUAUCUACAGAUUUACAUAACAGCAUAACAUGUGUCGUCAAUACUAAUGUAAAACGAAAUUUUGUAACAGAGUUACCAACGUCCCCAAACAAGGGACGUUUUAACAAAAAUUACUGCAUCUUCUUCUAUUUUAUAGGGCAACAUACUAAAAAUGUAUAUAAAUCAUAACUAUGUAUCAUAUAAUUCAUAAAAUAUUAUGUACAUGUAGUUUGAAAAAUG